AUUGAACGCUGGCGGCAGGCCUAACACAUGCAAGUCGAACGAGUGGCGGACGGGUGAGUCAUUUCUGGGAACCUGCCUGAUGGAGGGGGAUAACUACUGGCACCGGUAGCUACUACCGCAUACCAUCAGAUUUGCCCAGAUGGGAUUAGCUAGUUGGUGGGGUAACGGCUCACCAAGGCGACGAUCCCUAGCUGGGCUGAGAGGAUGACCAGCCACACUGGAACUGAGACACGGUCCAGACUCCUACGGGAGGCAGCAGUGGGGAAUAUUGCACAAUGGGCGAAAGCCUGAUGCAGCCAUGCCGCGUGUAUGAAGAAGGCCUUCGGGUUGUAAAGGACUUUCAGCGGGGAGGCGUUACCCGCAGAAGAAGCACCGGCUAACUCCGUGCCAGCAGCCGCGGUAAUUC
rnacentral:rRNA from 1 species